GACGAACGCUGGCGGCGUGCUUCAUACAUGCAAGUCGAACGAGAAGCUGACUUCGGUCAGUGGAAAGUGGCGGACGGGUGAGUAAUAUGUAGGAAAUCUGCCUUUAGGAGGGGGACAACAGAGGGAAACUUCUGCUAAUACCCCAUAUGAGCGUAGCUGAAAUGCUAUUCUUGAAAACUCUGGUGCCUAAAGAUGAGCCUGCAUCUGAUUAGCUAGUUGGUAGUGUAAUGGACUACCAAGGCGACGAUCAGUAGCUGGGUUGAGAGGAUGAUCAGCCACAAUGGGACGGAGGCACGGCCCAUACUCCUACGGGAGGGAGCAGUAGGGAAUUGUGCGCAAGGGGCGAAAGCCUGACGCGGCAACGCCGCGUGAACGAUUAAGCCCUUCGGGGUGGAAAGUUCUGUCAGUGGGGACGAAACUUGACGGUACCCACAGAGGAAGCACCGGCUAACUCCGUG
rnacentral:rRNA from 1 species